CUCUUUCUUUCUUGCAUAAUAAAAGAUAACUAUGACUGGACAGCUAUCCAUUUCAAUUUUAGGGUAAAUACUUUAGAUCUGAUCGAACAUGAACAUGUCUAUUUGAUGCAGCAACUGAUGACACACAACGCAUGAUGCAAAUGAGUGGAUUUGGAUUUGAUCCGACAAGGAGUUUGGGCGCGGAGAAAGACAGUCUAGACAUUGUUCAACAUGAAUGGGCCUUGCCAAAAUUUGAGCAGCGGGCAGAAGCUGUGUUGAAGAAACUUGUUAGUUGAGGAACUGUAAGAGCUGGCAGUUACCAGCUUGUAACGUUACACCUUCUCCAUGGUGUUACUUCAUUACUGGUGCACACAGCACACGUCGCCUUAAGCCUUGAAGUUGGCAUAAACUUCAAAUGUUCACAAAGUAACGAGUGAAGACGACUGGCUUCCGAGCUUAUUACAUGUAUUUUUAAUCGUGUUGAUUUUUAAUUAAAGACGAUGUCCGGGAGACUGGUUGCCUAUUUUGACAAAUGGUUAGCUCUCCAAUUUCCUUGUUCAAAUAAUGUAUGAAGAACUUCCAUGAAGGAUAUAAGAUAUUUGGUUGUGACUUAAGAUU